rnacentral:lncRNA from 1 species
GAAAACGGACAAAAUAAAGUCAAUGCAAAAAAAAGGAAAAAAAAAGAAUAAGAGUUUGUGAAGUUUGGCUAGAUAUUUGUUUCGAUAGAGAUUGGGUCAGUUCAAAAUUGGUUGAAAAAGAGAAAAUGUUAUUAGAGGAUUAUGAUCCAUCAAAGGCCUUAAAUUACUUACACUCCUUGGAUUUCUAGUAAAUUUUUGUGUCGAUUCAAGUAGAUUAGAGACAACUGUAUCUUGAUUAUUAGUAGAUGAGUCUUUAAGUCGUAUUUUCCUUAAAAACACUUUUUGUUAACACCAACGAAAUUAGAGUAGAGUCGAGUAGACACUUGCUAGAAUGUCUCACAGAUUUUAUGGGUAUAUCUUCUGUAAACCCUUAGGAGACAAAACUCCUCUUGUAGAGAUCGUCUACGAGUUUAACGGGUUGGUGAACCUAAAAUCACCCGUCACGCCUACGAAAAGGAGCCUAGGAAUCGCAUCUAG